GAUGAACGCUGGCGGCGUGCUUAACACAUGCAAGUCGAGCGAGAAGUUUUGAAAAGAUUCUUCGGAUGAAAUUUAAAAUGGAAAGCGGCGGACGGGUGAGUAACGCGUAGGCAACCUGCCCCAUACAAAGGGAUAGCAUUUGGAAACGAAUAUUAAUACCUUAUGAAACUUACCUAGUGCAUGCUAGGUAGGUCAAAGAUUUAUCGGUAUGGGAUGGGCCUGCGUCUGAUUAGCUAGUUGGUGAGGUAACGGCUCACCAAGGCGACGAUCAGUAGCCGACCUGAGAGGGUGAACGGCCACAUUGGAACUGAGACACGGUCCAAACUCCUACGGGAGGCAGCAAUGGGGAAUAUUGCACAAUGGGGGAAACCCUGAUGCAGCAACGCCGCGUGAACGAUGAAGGCCUUUGGGUCGUAAAGUUCUGUUCUAGGUGAUGAAAACUGACAGUAACCUAGGAGAAAGCCCCGGCUAACUCCGUG
rnacentral:rRNA from 1 species